UUUUUUUUUAGGUUUUGCGUGUUACCCUUCCCUGCCCCAAUGCCUCCUUUUCAUUUUUUUUUCAGACUUCCACCGAUUUUCCGAUUCUCACAGACCCCUCCUUCAAUUUUCCUAUUCUCCCAGACACCUUCCACGACGCCACUACCAUCCAACAUCGCCGCUGACUCGCCCCACUCCUUGCCGAAUGGCUCCCUGCUCGUAGAACUAGUCACCAGUUACUCACAUUGGAUGGAAAAUUCCUUCUCAAUUCCUUGACCACAAAAGCCUCUCUUCACCAUUUCAUCGUUUGUUCAUUACUCGUACGCCGCUCGUUAGUCGUCGUCCGUCGAACUGAAAGUUUCAUAUGCAAAUCUCACCAUUCGUCACCAUUCUUCUAUCGAUUUGGACUUCAAGGCGUGAAGAGCGAUCUUGUCAGAUCUCAUUUCGUUGAAUCCCUUUAUGAAAUUGAAACUGGAGCAAAUUGGUUUUGCUUUCAAAUAGAUUGGCAAUGAAGGAAAAGACCAAGCUUAUAGCAUCCAUAAUAUUAGUUUUCUGUGCAAACGAAGGUUGUUUGCUGUUACGCAGAGGUCGACGAUUACUCCACCAGAAUCAUAGGCUUUGUUGGAUGAUACUACACCAGAAUCAUAGACUAAUUUUCAAGAUAAACAUUCAUAGGAGUUGUUGGGGGAAAUUUUCUCCUCAGCAAGGAACCUCCUCAUUGUCCAAUUUUGCUUGAUUUUGGGCUUACUAAAAAGUUACCAACCACCAUGAAACAAGCACUGGCAAAGAUGUUUUUAGUCGUUGCAGAGAGGGAAGCUGAAAUGCAAGAAAUGUAUGCAAGGUAGUCGCAGGGAAGAGGUUAAGACGUUGACACCUAACUAGGGCAUGCGUUGAGAACUAUGCUUCAGAUGAAUUUUAGAUUUGUUGUGAUAUCUGUGAGAAAUGGUUUCAUGGGAAAUUUGUUGUAUGAAGAAAUGCUUCAGUUUAUCAGUUUUCUUGUGAUGUAUUGAGUUUUAUAGAACAAGGUAGUUUUUUGUUUAGGUUUGUUCUCAAAGUACUUUUUUCCUUUAUAAACAAAAUUGUAAUGCAUAGAAGAUAACGUAUAUUAUUCAA